AGGAUCCAGAAGGAGCUGGCAGACAUCACUUUAGACCCGCCGCCAAACUGCAGUGCUGGUCCCAAAGGUGACAACAUCUAUGAGUGGAGAUCAACCAUUCUGGGGCCUCCAGGGUCUGUGUAUGAAGGUGGAGUCUUCUUCCUCGACAUCACUUUUACACCAGAGUAUCCCUUCAAGCCUCCAAAGGUAAGGAGUCUCCUGUGUCUUCUCACAUUUAACUGUCCUUGAGAAAGAUUAAAGUUUUCAAUGUACUCACAAAAGCCAGAUUUCUUCCACGUGUGUGCUGCUGGCCACUGACGCCUCCUUACCCAGUCCCCUCCAUGUUGGAAGAGCUGUGUGGACUGCGGUGCAGUCUAGAUCUGCUGUGUAGGUCGGAAGAGCUUAGCUUCCUGCUGUGCAGUGUUUGCUAGUGUAAGUGAAUGUGAUGACUGGUGAUUGGUCAUAGGCAUUUCCAGGGUAAGUACUUAAGAUUGCUGUUUAUAGCUUCUUAGACUUAAUGACUCCGGAGCAGUGUGUUCCUUCCAGCUAACACAAGAGGCCAGCAGACAACCAACAACUUAGACCUAUUGAUGUCUAAACAUUAAAACUAAGCCAGAUGCUACUAGUCACACAUAUGUCAUCCUACAGUCUGGAAGCAGAAGCAGAGGGGAGGAUCAAAAGUUUGCAGCUAGUGUGGGGUACACGGCACCAGGAUGGCCUGAUGGAGAAGGGAGGAAGUGUGGACUGUUCGCCUCGAGCAGUGGUCACUGCUGUAGAGUGAGAUGGAGGGGUUAGCCUGAAGUGUCCUAAUGCCCCUACCUGAUGCUGCUUAACAACUGCCUUACUUUUAGGUUACGUUUCGUACAAGAAUUUAUCACUGUAAUAUUAAUAGCCAAGGAGUUAUCUGCUUGGACAUAUUGAAAGACAACUGGAGCCCAGCACUAACCAUCUCGAAAGUCCUCCUCUCUAUCUGCUCACUCCUUACAGACUGCAAUCCUGGUAAGACUGUAGUCACCUGCACUGUAUUUCUUAGUAAAUGACAAAGUACUUGUU
rnacentral:lncRNA from 1 species